rnacentral:rRNA from 1 species
UUAAGUGACGAAGCGUAUACGGUGGAUGCCUUGGCAGUUAGAGGCGAUGAAGGACGUGUAAGUCUGCGAAAAGCUGUGGUGAGCCGACAAAAUGCAUUUGAGCCACAGAUGUCCGAAUGGGGAAACCCACCUGUUUACAGGUAUCGUUACAUGAAUACAUAGUGUAACGAGGCGAACGAGGGGAACUGAAACAUCUAAGUACCCUUAGGAAAAGAAAUCAAACGAGAUUCCCCUAGUAGCGGCGAGCGAACGGGGAACAGCCCUUAAGCUGUUUAGUGUGUAGUGGAAUCCUUUGGGAAGAGGAGCGAUACAGGGUGAUAGCCCCGUACACAAAGCGUGCUUUACAGUGAAAUCGAGUAGGUCGGGACACGUGUUAUCUUGACUGAAUAUGGGGGGACCAUCCUCCAAGGCUAAAUACUCCUAACUGACCGAUAGUGAACCAGUACCGUGAGGGAAAGGCGAAAAGAACCCCUGUGAGGGGAGUGAAAUAGAACCUGAAACCGUAUACGUACAAGCAGUGGGAGCCCUUCGGGGUGACUGCGUACCUUUUGUAUAAUGGGUCAGCGACUUAUAUUUAGUAGCAAGGUUAAGCGAAUAGCGGAGCCGUAGCGAAAGCGAGUGUUAACUGCGCGUUGAGUUGCUAGGUAUAGACCCGAAACCCGGUGAUCUAGCCAUGAGCAGGUUGAAGGUUGAGUAACAUCAACUGGAGGACCGAACCCACUGACGUUGAAAAGUCAGGGGAUGACUUGUGGCUGGGGGUGAAAGGCCAAUCAAACCGGGAGAUAGCUGGUUCUCCCCGAAAUCUAUUUAGGUAGAGCCUCGGACGAAUUCCAUUGGGGGUAGAGCACUGUUAAGGCUAGGGGGUCAUCCCGACUUACCAACCCUUUGCAAACUCCGAAUACCAAUGAGAACUAUCCGGGAGACACACGGCGGGUGCUAACGUCCGUCGUGGAGAGGGAAACAACCCAGACCGCCAGCUAAGGUCCCAAAAUAUUGCUAAGUGGGAAACGAUGUGGGAAGGCACAGACAGCUAGGAGGUUGGCUUAGAAGCAGCCACCCUUUAAAGAAAGCGUAAUAGCUCACUAGUCGAGUCGGCCUGCGCGGAAGAUGUAACGUGUUUACAUGCUGGGUAGGGGAGCGUUGUGUAAGUGGAUGAAGGUGAGUUGUAAAGCUUGCUGGACAUAUCACAAGUGCGAAUGCUGACAUGAGUAACGAUAAUGGGAGUGAAAAACUCCCACGCCGGAAGACCAAGGUUUCCUGUCCCAUGCUAAUCAGGGCAGGGUAAGUCGGCCCCUAAGGCGAGGCAGAAAUGCGUAGUCGAUGGGAAACGGAUUAAUAUUUCCGUACUUAUAUAAUCAGUGAUGGAGGGACGGAGAAGGCUAGGCAAGCUUGGCGUUGGUUGUCCAAGUGAAAGUGCGUAGACCGAGAACUUAGGUAAAUCCGGGUUCUUAAAGUCGAGACACGAGACGAGCCACCAAGGUGGUGAAGUUGUUGAUGCCCUGCUUCCAGGAAAAGCUUCUAAACUUAUGAUUAUAUGAACCGUACCCCAAACCGACACAGGUGGUCAGGUAGAGAAUACUAAGGCGCUUGAGAGAACUCGGGUGAAGGAACUCGGCAAAAUUGUACCGUAACUUCGGGAGAAGGUACGCCUCUGUUUGUGAACACUUCGCGUGGUAAGCAAAUGGAGGCCGCAGUGACCAGGUGGCUGGGACUGUUUAUUAAAAACACAGCACUCUGCAAACUCGUAAGAGGACGUAUAGGGUGUGACACCUGCCCGGUGCCGGAAGGUUAAUUGAUGGGGUUAGUUUUCGGACGAAGCUCUUGAUCGAAGCCCCGGUAAACGGCGGCCGUAACUAUAACGGUCCUAAGGUAGCGAAAUUCCUUGUCGGGUAAGUUCCGACCCCGAGACUCAGUGAAAUUGAAAUCGCAGUGAAGAUGCUGUGUACCCGCACCUAGACGGAAAGACCCCGUGAACCUUUACUACAGCUUGGCACUGAACAUUGAACCUACAUGUGUAGGAUAGGUGGGAGGCUUUGAAGCACAGUCGCUAGAUUGUGUGGAGCCGUCCUUGAAAUACCACCCUUGUAUGUUUGAUGUUCUAACAUUGUUCCCUUAUCGGGAAUGUGGACAGUGUCUGGUGGGUAGUUUGACUGGGGCGGUCUCCUCCCAAAUAGUAACGGAGGAGCACGAAGGUUAGCUAAUCACGGUCGGACAUCGUGAGGUUAGUGCAAUGGCAUAAGCUAGCUUAACUGCGAGACAGACACGUCGAGCAGGUACGAAAGUAGGUCAUAGUGAUCCGGUGGUUCUGUAUGGAAGGGCCAUCGCUCAACGGAUNNNUGAAGUCGGUCCCAAGGGUAUGGCUGUUCGCCAUUUAAAGUGGUACGCGAGCUGGGUUUAGAACGUCGUGAGACAGUUCGGUCCCUAUCUGGUGUGGGCGUUGGAUGAUUGAUGGGAGCUGCUCCUAGUACGAGAGGACCGGAGUGGACGAACCGCUGGUGUUCGGGUUGUCAUGCCAAUGGCAUUGCCCGGUAGCUAUGUUCGGAACGGAUAACCGCUGAAAGCAUCUAAGCGGGAAGCCGGCCCAAAGAUGAGUCAUCCCUGACCUUUAAGGUCUGGAAGGGUUGUUAUAGACGAUGACGUUGAUAGGCAGGGUGUGGAAGCGUUGUAAGGCGUUAAGCUAACCUGUACUAAUUGCCCGAGAGGCUUAACCAU